GAUAGUUCAGUUGGUAGAACGUGAGACUCUUAAUCUCAGGGUCGUUGGUUGGUGCCCCACUGCA